CAUCCAAUGUCCUCCAUGGGAGACCCAGAUGAAGCUGCUGGCUUCAGCCUGGCCCAGCCACUGCUCUACAGCCAAUCGGGGAGUGAACCAGGAGGUGGAAGAUCUGUGUCUUUCCCUCUCUCUGUGACCCUACCAUUCAAAUAAAUACAUAAAUAUAAAAAAAAGCUAGAACCAUGUCAUUUAGAGAUAGAAUAAGAGUAUUUCAAAAAGUACAGGGAAAAAAUGAAAUAAAAAGAUGGGUGUAGUAAAAAAUUUUGAAAUCUGUGUAUCUGAUGGAAUCUUCAAAAAGUUCAUGGAAAGUGUGUGUUAUUAAAAAAUCUAGCAUGAUUUUUCUAAAUUUGCUUUUACAUCAAAGUAAACAUCUUUUAAUUCUGUUGUUUCAUGCCAUUUUGAAGUUCCCGCCAAGGUUCCUGGAUGGGGAGAUGAGUUAGGAAUCAUGGUAUCCAACCGGGAGGAACCCUAGUUGCAGACUUGAAGCAGGAAUUCCCCAGCUGUCCUGUGGGGAUGGACUUUGCUGAAUUACAGUCCUCCCAGCUGAGAAGAAAGGUCAAGAACUAUGAAUGUGGAGAGAUUAACACCUUAGGCCUCCUCGGGUCAGAUAAUACUUUUGCCUGCUGAGAAAGCAUUCCCUUGAGCUGUGGCAUUGGCAGCCAGAAGGGCAGCCUGGUUUCCUGCAGAAAUGUUAAGUGUCCACCAACUGGUGACUAGGACAAUGGCUUGUAGCCACCUGUUCUGGCUCUGCCACUGCCUCCACAGGGUCAGCAUCUCAGCUGCGUACUUAGCAUCCUUAUCCCUGUUGUCAGGAGCCCCCUUUCCUUCCAGAUAGCACCAAGAGCCUGCACAACUGGAGACACGUCUGGUGUCUGUGCCAAUAUUUACCUUGUAUGGUGUCUGUGCCAAUAUUGACCUUCUUUCCUUUUGGGAGCUGGAGAGCUCUUGUCAGAGUGAGCAGCUCAGCCGUCCGGGCUGCAGUCCUUGGUGGCUGCUCACCCAGCCCUCCAUUGCCCAUUACCAAUACCCUGGCUCCAUUAGGAGAAGAGGGCCUAGUCGUCUUGGCAGGGGCUGCUCCAACAGGUCCAUUUUGCUGGAGAAACAGUCUCAAAUAUUUGCAGACAGUCCAGAUGAAUGAACGCAUUUUCAUGGAUAGGCAGGAGAGUGGCAGGACUCAGAGUGCACACAGCCUGGAGCUUCACCUUUAGAUUAUCUGAGGGACAGCCUGGCAUUUGCCUAAUUAUCCUUCUGGUGACCAAAUGAUCCCCAUGUCCAAGGCCAGCCAGGAAGCAUCUCCUAUGGUUACUGAUUCUGUCAAUGUCUCCAUCUACAGUAGGGUCCCAACCAGGCUGUAGGGUUGGGCUGGAAGCUGCGUGAUUGAGAGUGGGCCUGGGGUCUCAUCAUUGAGUGGUUGGUGUUUUUUUUUUUUUGGCUCUGUCCAUAACAAACCUUUGCUCACUAGCAGGAAGCAGAAUGUGUAGCAAGAGCCAUCUGUGUAUAUGCCCAAGUGGAGUGAUGUGUUGAAAGAUAUGAUGGGGCCUGCAUUGUGGCAUAGCAGGUAAAACCUCUGCCUGCAGGGCCAGCAUCCCAUAUGGGUACCAGUUCAAGACCUGGCUGUUCCUCUUCUGAUCCAGCUCUCUGCUGUGGCCUGGGAAAGAGAUAGAACAUGGCCCAAGUCCUUGGGCCCUGCACCCAAAUGGGAAGACUUGGAAGUAGCUCCUGGCUCCUGGCUUCGGAUCAGCGAGGCACUAGCCAUCAUGGCAAAUUGGGGCGUGAACCAGUAGAUGGAGGAUCUCUCUCUCUCUCUCUCUCUCUCUACUUCUGCUUCUCUCUCUGUGUAACUCUGACUUUCAAAUAAAGAGUAUCAUAAAAAAAGAAAGAUAUGGUAAACAACUCAGUGAUUUUCUGAGGUUUUUCUCUGUACAUUAGGUAGAAGAACAACUUUAGGUCCAGUAAUAGUGGGCUGGCUGCCCCUCUGCAUUCCAACUUCCUAUAGGAUGUUACUGCACCACCCUGGCUACUGGCACCCUUGGCCAAAUAUGGUUUCCUGCCUCAUUUUGAAGGGAGGGAGAGCAUUUCCAUCGUGGGUCAUAAUCAGGUGGUUCCCCUCCUGUUGUACACUCCUGUUCAGGGUGGACCUGAAGAGAGAGCUUUAGGAAUGAAAGCUUUGAUGUGUAUUUGUUUUCUUCUUGAGGAGAGCAGGUCAAAGGCAUUUGUUUGCCUGUUGGUUGAAUUGUGUGUUCAUAAAGUUUGUGUAUAAAAAUAUAUAAUGAAUUUAAGCCCUAAGUAGUCUUACUACUUUACUAGAAGUGUUCAUAUGUAUAACAGAUAUCCUUAAAAAACAGAUCUCAUUUAAGGUGGGAUCCAGGUGAAUAAAUUUGAAAAACAGUUUUUCUCCUUGAGAGUAGCGGUUUUUGAUGAUCCAAAGAUAGUUGGAGCCUGGUGGACUAUCUCUGAAUUUUAUCAAUCCUUAUUUUCAUCUGGGAUAAAACAAUAACAUAAACACACCAGGAAGAAUAGGCUGUUAGGGCAAUAGAUGUCGUAUCUACUAAUUGUUUCUUUUUUUCCAAUGAUGGCUUCUGUAGAGUUGUGUCCCUGGCAGAGUUUUGUGAUUGCCAUUAUCAAACAAUCAUGAAUGUCCUUUUUUGCAACCUCUUGGUGUCAGGAGUUAGAAGGGUUAACAGGCAGUUAGGAAGAACCCCUGUGGGAAUAAGGAAUCAGGUGUUCCUGUGAAAGCUGCCAUUCACUGAUUAAACAAAAGACAUUGCCCAUUGAAAAUGAAAAGACUGAUAGGGAACAUGAUGGGUCCCACACUCAUAGAUAACCCGAUGAGAAACUGGACUCUGGCUUCAUAACAGAGCACACCACUAAGCAACAUGUCUCAAGUGCUUAGCAACUGAUGAGCUAGGUAUAACCUGCCUUCACUGUUCAGGUCAACUGUGUUUCUAAUUAGUCACAUCUUCCAAGGGGUGGACAUGGUAAUGUUUGUUAGCUGGCCAGGAACCAUCACUGCUACACAAAAGGCACAGAAAAACACAGCAGGUUCCAGAAUUGUGGCACAGUCAGGUAAGCUGCCACCUGCAACACCAGAAGCCCAUCUGGGCACGAGUUCACGAGCUCUGGCUGCUCCACUACCAAUCUCAAUCCCAACUAAUGUGCCAGGAAAGCAGUGAGAUGGCCCAGUUCCUUGGGCCCCUGCACCCAUGUGGGAGACCCAGAUGAAGCUUCUGGCAUUGGCCUGGCCCAGCCCAGUCUGUUGUGACCAGAUGGAAGCUCUCUCUUCAUAACAUUCAAAUCAAUAAAUAAAUCAUAAAAAAACAAAAUGACUCCUGAUGUAUCAGAAGCAUGUAGAAGAAUUGAUUACCUCAUAAGCUCUUCCUAUAUAAGCUCCUAAUAUCCAGCCCUUGAUGGCUCCCCCUCUGGAGUACCCCUCUGGUAUGUAAGAGUCUCUGUCUCCCAGUAAAAUCUACUUUCCUUGCUUUUCUCUUCCCCAUUUGUGUCCUCAUCCUAAUUCUUCAUCAGCACGAGAUACAGAAUCAACCCCAAAUUCCUGUAACAUCAGUCUUAUGUGUUUUAUUUUAGGGGUGACACUAGUGACUUCAUCUUAACCCUUUAUCCCCUCUGCUCACUUACUGUCUUUAAACAAAACUGAUCAGUCAUCCUGUAGCUAGUUUUGUUUAUCCCUUGUUGUCAGGACAGAAUUGUCCUGGUUGUUGGUCUGAUUUUGUCCCCUACUCAAGGGUACAUGAUUGACAGCCAAGAGUCAGUGCCAAAAAUCCUUUUGGUCACAUUUUUAAGCAGUAGACAUUUUGGAAGAAGGGGACCUUGGGUGUCCUUUACCUGGAGUCCUUUGGUAAAAUUAACCGUUUCAGUUUGUGAUAAGAGAGCCAUCAUCUCUAAGCCAGCAUUAUCUUGAGGGAAUUGUAGUUUUUGACAGGCAAUAGACAUAAAGUUCACGAGAGAACACAGAGCAGACCACCAUGAGCACAACAGACCAGGUUUGUGUCCCCAGAACAAUGGACAGAGUUCCAUCCAACAGCAGGUGUAUUGUAGUUUGUUGAUUGCCUGUUUGCACCAAGUAUAGUACCAGAAGCCCCUUUGUCAUUUAAUAACCUCAGAUUUGGAAGACUCUCAAAGUUAAACAGUCAAUGCAAGACAUGUUUUUUUGUUUUGUUUUGUUUUGUUUUGUUUUUUUAAACUAACAUGCCUGCUCUUUUGAGGUUUUAUGGCUUACUGUGAAAUUUCAGCUUUCUUUAUUCACUGAACUCUGGAAGGCUGGGAACCCAGGAAGUCAGGCAUUCCGAGUGUGAUAUUUGGACAUGUCAAUGUUUUUAAUUAUAUCCUAUUAAUACAAGAACAGAUUUUUACUGAACUCAUGUAAACCACACAUUGCCAUGAAAAAUCUUACAAAAGUUUUUGGAUUUUGGGUAGACUCAGAGGGAAAGGGAAUUGUUUUUACCUCUGUUUGCAAAACUGUAUUUCACCAAAGCAGUGUAUACCAUAGGAAUCACAAGAAAAUCUUUAACCUAGAAGAAGAGGUCUCUACGUGCAGAACCAACAAUGGCUUAUGGAAGACACAGACACACACAAUAAGUUCACGUUGCUGCCUCUCCUGUAACUGCUUCUUGUCCUGCGUGAUCUCCAUUAGCAGGUCUGUGAAUCCAUCAGUGUCCUUACCAGUUUUUGGAAAGGUUAGUGUGUUCACUGAGCUUUAGUCAGACAACCUGUAUUUACAAACAUCUGUUUGUAGUCUCCUUUGAUUGUGUUUUCAGAGAAGAACCACAACUGUGGAUGACUAAAGAUGUGAAAGCAUCAUGAUUAAAACUUGGAUAGAAUUUGGCAAACAGUUCAAAAGCACAGGAGAGUUUUGCGACCUUUCUGUCCUUCAGGUAGGGGCCUGUGGUGGGAGGGGCACUUGUGAAAGCGUCCCAGAGCCCCCAGGUCCUUGUUAUUACUAAGCUCACAAUCAUGCCUGACGACAUCGAAUCAGAACCAGCAGGCCUGUAUGAAAGUCCAAGAACACUAGAAUAGUGUAUCAGCAACGCACCUAUAGCAAUGCGACUUGGCGUUUGUUUGUUCUAUAACUUGAGAGUACUUUCUGUGCAAUCCACCUGAGCCUCAUCUGCUUGAUCUCUGUAGGGUGAGAGCUGCAUCCAUGAAGACUUCCGGGGGCCCAGCUGCAAAUCCCAAGCUCAGAGACCUUAAUUUGAAACUUUGAUUGAGAAAGCCUGACUACAAUAUCCAAAGUUUCCAAACGCUUGGUCAAAAAUAGGAUCCCUGACCCCUGUGAGAAACACUCAUCAUCCAUUCAGCCAGGGUGAUUUCACCUGAGUUACAGACCAGAGUAAAUUGCAGCAACAAAAUACAAAAUCUUUUCCCCCUUUUGGUCCCUCACCAACAGAGGCCAUGGUAAGACCUGGACUAGAAGCAUGAGUGUAAGAAACUGUCUCACUGUUUGGAACAAUGUAAAGACAUCAGGAAAGACCAGAGGUAAAGAAUGAAAUGGUCCUGUUCUCCUAGGUUCCAAGACAAACAUUUUUAGUGUCCGUUUCUAGCAGGGUGAGAACCAGGGAGGAGAAACAGCUCACAGGCGCUGCCCAGAGAGUCAAGGGCGUCCCAAGUACACAGACACUGUGGAAAUCAGAAGCUGCAGUUUAGAAGAUUAGAGAACAGAUUUUACAAUUAAAGAUCAAGGCAUCUUGUAAUACGUAUUAAUAUGUCUGCAUCUUAAGAAAACCUGAUUCCUUUAGUGUAGGGGGCCAAAUUUUUGUUAACAUUAGAACAUUGUUAAUGGCACAGUUUUCAGAAACUUAUAUAUGGGAUUUUAUUUUCAUCUGAGCCAAAUUAAUCUCAUAGAUGCAUGUUUCAUACAUUUUCUACAACAUUUCUAUAAUUGUUCAGUAUUUGUCUUAUUUUUUUUUCCUAGUAUUACAGCAGCCAUGUGGGUUCUGGUCAAAUGUUUAUUUAUUUAAAACAUAUCUCUCAUAUCUCACAUAUUUACCAAUCAAAAACAUAAUUUUAUACUUGGAAUUUUUACUGUUCUCUACUUAUUCGUUUUUUAUUUAUACUUAGAAGCAUUUAAGUUGGUUAAAUUUAUCUAUUGUUGGGGAUCGGUGCUGCGGCUUAGCAGGUUAAUGCCCUGGCCUGAAGCGCUGGCAUUCCCUAUGGGGGCUGGUUCUAGUUCUGGCUGCUCCUCUUCUGAUCCAGCUCUCUGCUGUGGCCUGGGAAAGCAGUAGAAGAUGGCCCAAGUCCUUGGGCCUCUGCACCCAUGUGGGAGACCCAGAAGAGGCACCUGGCUUCAGAUCAGUGUACCUUGGCCAUUGUGGCCAUCUGGGGAGUGAGCCAACGGAUGGAAGAUCUCUCUCGGUCUCUGCCUCUCUCUUUAACUCUGUCUUUCAAAUAAAUAUAAUAAAUCUUUAAAAAAAUAAAUUUAUCUGUUGUUAAUAAUCAUACAUGGAUUACUUACGAAGACUGAGAUUUUUAAACAGAUACAGUCAUUGUUGCCUGAGAAUGGCAGGGCCCUUGUCUUCGCGCAAGAAAGAAUUCAGGUGUGAGACAGAGAGUAGUGGAAAGCAAAAUAGCAAGGUUUAUUAGGGCAGGGACAUCUGUAAGAACGGAUGGGCACCUCUCCAGACAGGACCUGAGAGAGAGUGCCCAGUCGCUCAGACUUGGGAAGAGCGAGGCUGCUUGGCUGAGUGGAGAGUACACCUGGGCAGGCCAGGUGGGCGACUCAGCAGAGAGGCAGAGGGCUGAGUGCGCAGUCCGGUUGAGGCCAGGGGUUUUUAAGGGGAUGGGCCUUGCCUUCCCCUCUUCUCCUACUGGAACAAAGGACUUUUUGGAUGUAAAUACUAAAAAUUCCUUUCUGAGUUUUCCCUGCUGAAGUUAUCAGACAGGAGGAAGACUGGCUCAGCCCUGGCUGUUGCAGGCAUUUGGGGAAUGAACCAGAGGAUAAAAGUUAUCUCUAUUUCUGUCUUUCUCAAUCUCUCUCUCUCUCUCUCUCUCUCUCUCUCUCAAAUCAAUAAAUAAGCAAUAAAAACAUGGUUCAAUGAUUAAUCUUUAAAUAUUGCUAAAACAUUGCUAUGUCUGUCCGAUGACCAUUUGACAAAAACAGGAGGCUCUGCCACACACGGAGACCAGUGACCGCCAUCAUGACCACAGAUAAACAGCACUGUGCUGUAGGUCAGUGACGUCUCUGAUCAUAGGCUGAAGUAUGGCCAAAACGUGGGGCUGAAAAACAGGGAUUGAAGAAGAUACAGAGAUAUCUUGCCAUGUAGGUGAACGACAGUGAAAACAGAACGCAUACAAAGCAAGAUAGAGUGUUCAAAUGCAAACAGUUGGAGCAACAACUGUCUUGGAAGAUUGCUAUGAUUUAGGAAGAUAAGAUUGCAGAGAUCUGUUCAUUGCAGAGUGUGUCAGCAGCUCUCCCCCAUGACUAGUACUAACCAGCUAGAGAACGGAUCUCAGUCUAAAUUCCGCCUGAUAGCACCUGCCUACUCACCACGCGGGCAUUAGACUCAGUGUCAAGACCAUGCAGGCAUCUGUUGGACAGAGUUUAUUCAACCAAUGGCCUCCUUGCCCAGCACGUCUCUAUACAAUUUUUGAUGCCUUUUUAAGAGAUUGAUUUAUUUGUAUGAAAUGCAGAGUUAUGGAAGAAGUGGAAGAGACAGAUAUAAAGAGCACUUCCACCCAUUGGUUCACUCCCCCAACUGGCCACAAGGGCAAGGGCUGGGCCAGGCUGACGUCAGAGGCCUGAAACUCUGUCUGGGUCUCCCAUGGGGGUGGCAGGGGCUCAAGAGGUUUGGCCAUCUUCUCUGCUUUCCCAAGUGCAUUAGCAUGAAGUUGGAUCAGAAGUGGAGCAGCCGGGACUUGAACCAGUACUCAGAGGCACUGCUAUCGUCACAGGAGGCAGCUUAACCCGCUGUACAAAACACUGACCCUUGUAUUUUUUUAAUAAUCAGAUUUUUUGUUGUUCUCAUAGGUAUUAGAUAGUUCAUUGGAGCAUACUCAGGAAGCAGUUAUGAGGCAUUUGUACCCUUGAACUUGCUGUUUCUCCUUACAGUUCAUAGCCAAUGAUUCUGAGAUGAUGAACAUAGGAAUGGAGAAGUUUCCUCAAGUGACAGAUUCCCACCAUUCUCCAAUGCCAUGAGAUCCUGCUCUGCAACCCCAAACUGAGCACAAGGCAGCACCCCAGCGUCAGUGGGGAGAUCAGAGCCUACGCAGAAGCUACAGUGUGAACAUGCAGAAGGGAAGAGGGAGAACAAGUCGGAUCAGAAGACGAAAACGCUCCAAAGGUUCUCAGACAAGAGGAGUGAAUGAGAGCUACAAGUCUGAAUUUAUAGAUCUACAGAAGUGGCUGAAAGACAGGAAGUUUGAAGAUAAAAACUUAGCACCUGCUCGUUUCCCAGGUACAGGAAGAGGGCUGAUGAGCACCGUGUCCUUGCAGGAGGGACAGAUGAUUAUUUCGUUGCCUGAGAGUUGCCUGCUCACCACGGACACAGUGAUUGAAAGCUACUUAGGGCCGUACAUUACUAAGUGGAAGCCUCCUCCGUCUCCUCUGCUGGCUCUGUGCACAUUUUUAGUUUCAGAAAAGCAUGCUGGGGACCGGUCUCCCUGGAAGCCUUACCUGGAAAUUUUGCCCAAGGCCUACACCUGCCCUGUUUGUUUGGAUCCUGAAGUGGUGAAUCUUCUGCCCAAACCUUUACAAAUGAAGGCUGAGGAACAGAGAGCCCGUUUGUGGGAGUUCUUUGCUUCCUCCAGGGGCUUUUUCUCUUCCCUGCAGCCUCUGUUUGUGGAGCCCAUUGACAGCAUCUUCAGCUACAGUGCCCUCUUGUGGGCCUGGUGUACUGUCAACACCAGAGCUGUGUACCUGAGGCGCAGGCCGCGGGAGUGCCUGUCUGCUGAGCCCGACACCUGCGCACUUGCUCCGUACCUGGAUCUGCUGAAUCACAGCCCACAUGUCCAGGUAGAAGCAGCGUUUAAUGAGGAAACUCGUUGUUAUGAAAUUAGAACGGCUUCAAGGUUUAGAAAACACGAAGAGGUUUUCAUCUGCUACGGCCCUCAUGACAACCAGCGGCUGCUCCUGGAGUAUGGCUUUGUUUCCGUCCGUAACCCUCAUGCUUGUGUUUAUGUCUCAGGAGAAAUACUUGUUAAAUAUCUUCCACCAACAGAUAAACAGCUGAACAAAAAGGUUGCCAUUUUAAAGGACCAUGGUUUUAUAGAAAAUCUGACGUUUGGUUGGGAUGGACCAUCCUGGAGGCUGCUCACAGCUCUCAAGUUGUUAUGUCUGGAACCUGAAAAAUUUACAUUCUGGAAAAAGGUACUUCUUGGGGAAGUAAUUUCAGAUACAAAUGAGAAGACAAGUUUGGACAUAACCCGGAAGAUAUGCUGUGACUUCAUAGAGGAGACCUGCUCUGUGCUUCAGAAGAUUUCCCAGAUGAAGGAUGACAGCGUGGCUUUGCUGCCCCAGCUCGCUCUGGUGGAAACGCUGUGGAUGGAAGAGCUCCAGAUCCUCAGAGUGUCUGCCGAGGUCCUGGGCACUUCGCACACAACCGCUACCUGACCUCCGUCACCUCCUGCACACAACCGCUACCUGACCUCCACGCGAUCCCUCCGUCACCUCCUGUGGAGCGUCUCUGUGGAUGGCGUGGUGGCCGCUCCCAGGACACGGGAGGAUGCCUGUGGGGUGGAGCAGGUGCCAGGGCUGCUGGCUGGGAGUGACGACGGCUGGGUCCGCUGAGGGACGCCCUGUGAACUCUGCCGAGUAAGCAGCAGUCCCAGAGCAUGCACGAGGAAAGUCCUGAGCUGCAGGAAGCGAGGAGACCGAGGGAGCCAGGAGCCAACCGGGACGUGGAGUGGUCUGGCACUGCGUGAACUGUUCUUACUUGACUUAGCAGCUGGCAGAGGGCAAGAAGCUGUGCUCUCAGGGUGCCCUGAUCCCGUUGGGUGAAGGGGCAAGUUGGCGCUGGGUGGUUUUGGGCGGCCAGUCCCAGCCCGUGUGGCUCUCAGCUUCCAGUCCUGCCCUCUGUGGGAUGCUGACUUGCACGUGGAGGAGCCCUGGGGGGCCUGGGGUCCAGGAGGCGGGAAUCCCCCUUCAGCCUGCUCCUGGCCUUUGGCACACCCCAGGCAGGGCCUGUGAAAUACGAACUGGGGAGAAGGGCUGGCUCAGCCGUACAGAUCUUCCACCUUAACUUCUGGUGUCCUGGACAGGCCUUUCCUGGCUGCAUGCGGGGCUGGGCUCGGUGGAGGUCAGCAGACCCAAAGCUACCCUCAGACUGGGGCCUGUGUUCUUACUCUUGAUUUUGUUUUUUAUCCACUGUAGACUCAGUGGAUACUCAGGGGACACUCCCUCCAUAACUGUCCGUGACCUGAGGGGGCUCCCUGCAGAGCUAACGGAGCCAGACUUGCAGAGGUUGGGGUGGCCUGUGUGGGGGAUGCCCCGGGGAAACCUUGCUGCUGCCCAGAGCCCUUCUGUUUUCCCUGCUGAGUGUUCCUUCUUCCCAGAACUUUCCCAGUGUGGCGCUCAACAAAACCCAGUGAAUAGGGCCCCUUGCGUCUAGUGACAGAGUCUAAAUAAACUGUUUUCAUUGUCAUGGCUUAAA